GAUGAACGCUGGCGGCGUGCCUAAUACAUGCAAGUCGAGCGAACAGAUAAAGAGCUUGCUCCUUUGACGUUAGCGGCGGACGGGUGAGUAACACGUGGGUAACCUACCUAUAAGACUGGGAUAACUUCGGGAAACCGGAGCUAAUACCGGAUAACAUUUGGAACCGCAUGGUUCUAAAGUGAAAGAUGGUUUUGCUAUCACUUAUAGAUGGACCCGCGCCGUAUUAGCUAGUUGGUAAGGUAACGGCUUACCAAGGCGACGAUACGUAGCCGACCUGAGAGGGUGAUCGGCCACACUGGAACUGAGACACGGUCCAGACUCCUACGGGAGGCAGCAGUAGGGAAUCUUCCGCAAUGGGCGAAAGCCUGACGGAGCAACGCCGCGUGAGUGAUGAAGGGUUUCGGCUCGUAAAACUCUGUUAUUAGGGAAGAACAAACGUGUAAGUAACUGUGCACGUCUUGACGGUACCUAAUCAGAAAGCCACGGCUAACUACGUG
rnacentral:rRNA from 1 species